UACGGAGGGGCGAGCGUUGUUCGGAAUUACUGGGCGUAAAGGGCGCGUAGGCGGUCCGAUAAGUCCGUUGUGAAAGCCCUGGGCUCAACCUGGGAAUGGCAGUGGAUACUGGCGAGCUAGAGUGUGAUAGAGGAUGGUGGAAUUCCCGGUGUAGCGGUGAAAUGCGUAGAGAUCGGGAGGAACACCAGUGGCGAAGGCGGCCAUCUGGAUCAACACUGACGCUGAGGCACGAAAGCGUGGGGAGCAAACAGG
rnacentral:rRNA from 1 species